rfam:Desulfamplus magnetovallimortis isolate PRJEB14757 genome assembly, scaffold: MTBBW1_scaffold22
GGGGGCGAAAAGGCUUCGACGGAGAUUACGAGGUUUUGGUAGCAUGCCGAGUUUUCUGUUGACUCGUAAAAUCAGCGGAAACCUAAAGAUAAUCGCAGACGAUUACGAUUACGCUGUAGCUGCUUAAAAGCAGCUUCCGUCCUGCCGGGAUUUUUCCUGCAGAUUCCGGUAAAGGGCGUCGACUAUGCGGGACUGCUUUACACAGGUGCCUGUCAUGUGUAAAGUUAAAAUUCUCAGGCUAUACUGUUGCAUAUCUAUCCUGAAAGAGAUCAUCAGUAAAAUUUAAAAUUCAGGAUAAGCAUGUAGAAGCCACUGCUGACUGUUUUCGGACGCGGGUUCAAUUCCCGCCGCCUCCACCA